rnacentral:rRNA from 1 species
GUCCACGCCGUAAACGAUGUCAACUAGCCGUUGGGAGCCUUCGUGCUCUUAGUGGCGUAGCUAACGCGCUAAGUUGACCGCCUGGGGAGUACGGUCGCAAGAUUAAAACUCAAAUGAAUUGACGGGGGCCCGCACAAGCGGUGGAGCAUGUGGUUUAAUUCGACGCAACGCGAAGAACCUUACCAGGUCUUGACAUCCAGAGAACUUUCCAGAGAUGGAUUGGUGCCUUCGGGAACUCUGUGA